AAGACUCUACUUCCAGGCAUCAUUUCUAUAGUUUGUUACUAGAAAAGUUUCUAUGAACAUGCAGAGCACUGGAAACCAUGGGGAAGAGAGGCCCCCUUCUCUCCCGGAGUGAAACUGGCCCUAAAUUUGUUUCUGCAAAAGUCAUCUGUCAUUGAUGAUCUUUCUUCUUUUCCUUUGUGAGACGGAGAGAGAGGGUAGAUUUGU